UGGCCUUGUGUUAGUAACUACUCAAUAGCUUUCGUCAGGGAUGUUCCUUUGACUGUGUCAAAAGGUUCUAGCUGAGCUGAUGAUUGCAAGUUGCGAUUGGAACUACAAGUAGUAGAGGUAAUGUGUUUCGGUAAAAAAAAAAAAUACCAUUAACAUAAUCGAAAUGAAUCGUGCACACCUGUUAUUGUUUUUAUUUCUGCACUUUGGUCCAAUAUGUAGUAUCUGUAGGAUUAUACUUGGUGGAUUUUCAUAUAAUUUAUCGAAUUAUAGGAAGCCCAUGAGAGGCUUAUAGGAAGCCCAUGAGAGGCUUAUAGCAAUCUCCACAGGCGGUUAUGCCCCAUGGAUGGUUAUCAGUUUCAAUUUGCUGUCGGUAAGUAUUCUCAAUUUUGCUUUUAAAUUGUUGCUGACCUUAAUUUGGAUCCAGUAUCAACUUUUAAAUUGCUGCUUAAUCAUGCAUUUUAUUGCCUUAUUCUUCAAAUUUUUGCAGCUUAAAAGGAUGUAAUUUUUAUAUUGUUUUACUGCUUCCUUUGCUGACUUAUUCCUUGUUGAUCUUUGGUCCAACAAAACUGUUAUUAUAGCAGCCAGUAAUCGCAAUUUUCGUUUUAC
rnacentral:lncRNA from 1 species